rnacentral:rRNA from 1 species
UGCAAGUCGUACGCACUGGCCCAACUGAUUGAUGGUGCUUGCACCUGAUUGACGAUGGAUCACCAGUGAGUGGCGGACGGGUGAGUAACACGUAGGUAACCUGCCCCGGAGCGGGGGAUAACAUUUGGAAACAGAUGCUAAUACCGCAUAACAACAAAAGCCACAUGGCUUUUGUUUGAAAGAUGGCUUUGGCUAUCACUCUGGGAUGGACCUGCGGUGCAUUAGCUAGUUGGUAAGGUAACGGCUUACCAAGGCGAUGAUGCAUAGCCGAGUUGAGAGACUGAUCGGCCACAAUGGAACUGAGACACGGUCCAUACUCCUACGGGAGGCAGCAGUAGGGAAUCUUCCACAAUGGGCGCAAGCCUGAUGGAGCAACACCGCGUGAGUGAAGAAGGGUUUCGGCUCGUAAAGCUCUGUUGUUGGAGAAGAACGUGCGUGAGAGUAACUGUUCACGCAGUGACGGUAUCCAACCAGAAAGUCACGGCUAACUACGUGCCAGCAGCCGCGGUAAUACGUAGGUGGCAAGCGUUAUCCGGAUUUAUUGGGCGUAAAGCGAGCGCAGGCGGUUGCUUAGGUCUGAUGUGAAAGCCUUCGGCUUAACCGAAGAAGUGCAUCGGAAACCGGGCGACUUGAGUGCAGAAGAGGACAGUGGAACUCCAUGUGUAGCGGUGGAAUGCGUAGAUAUAUGGAAGAACACCAGUGGCGAAGGCGGCUGUCUGGUCUGCAACUGACGCUGAGGCUCGAAAGCAUGGGUAGCGAACAGGAUUAGAUACCCUGGUAGUCCAUGCCGUAAACGAUGAGUGCUAGGUGUUGGAGGGUUUCCGCCCUUCAGUGCCGGAGCUAACGCAUUAAGCACUCCGCCUGGGGAGUACGACCGCAAGGUUGAAACUCAAAGGAAUUGACGGGGGCCCGCACAAGCGGUGGAGCAUGUGGUUUAAUUCGAAGCUACGCGAAGAACCUUACCAGGUCUUGACAUCUUGCGCUAACCUUAGAGAUAAGGCGUUCCCUUCGGGGACGCAAUGACAGGUGGUGCAUGGUCGUCGUCAGCUCGUGUCGUGAGAUGUUGGGUUAAGUCCCGCAACGAGCGCAACCCUUGUUACUAGUUGCCAGCAUUAAGUUGGGCACUCUAGUGAGACUGCCGGUGACAAACCGGAGGAAGGUGGGGACGACGUCAGAUCAUCAUGCCCCUUAUGACCUGGGCUACACACGUGCUACAAUGGACGGUACAACGAGUCGCAAACUCGCGAGAGUAAGCUAAUCUCUUAAAGCCGUUCUCAGUUCGGACUGUAGGCUGCAACUCGCCUACACGAAGUCGGAAUCGCUAGUAAUCGCGGAUCAGCAUGCCGCGGUGAAUACGUUCCCGGGCCUUGUACACACCGCCCGUCACACCAUGGGAGUUUGUAACGCCCAAAGUCGGUGGCCUAACCUUUAUGGAGGGAGCCGCCUA